rnacentral:rRNA from 1 species
AGUGAACGCUGGCGGUAGGCCUAACACAUGCAAGUCGAACGGCAGCACAGUAAGAGCUUGCUCUUACGGGUGGCGAGUGGCGGACGGGUGAGGAAUACAUCGGAAUCUACUUUUUCGUGGGGGAUAACGUAGGGAAACUUACGCUAAUACCGCAUACGACCUACGGGUGGAAGCAGGGGAUCUUCGGACCUUGCGCGAUUGAAUGAGCCGAUGUCGGAUUAGCUAGUUGGCGGGGUAAAGGCCCACCAAGGCGACGAUCCGUAGCUGGUCUGAGAGGAUGAUCAGCCACACUGGAACUGAGACACGGUCCAGACUCCUACGGGAGGCAGCAGUGGGGAAUAUUGGACAAUGGGCGAAGGCCUGAUCCAGCCAUACCGCGUGGGUGAAGAAGGCCUUCGGGUUGUAAAGCCCUUUUGUUGGGAAAGAAAAGCAGCAGGUUAAUACCCCGCUGUUCUGACGGUACCCAAAGAAUAAGCACCGGCUAACUUCGUG